UACGGAGGAUCCGAGCGUUAUCCGGAAUCAUUGGGUUUAAAGGGUCCGUAGGCGGGCCAUUAAGUCAGGGGUGAAAGUCUGCGGCUCAACCGUAGAAUUGCCCUUGAUACUGGUGGUCUUGAGUUAUGGUGAAGUGGCCGGAAUAUGUAGUGUAGCGGUGAAAUGCAUAGAUAUUACAUAGAACACCGAUUGCGAAGGCA
rnacentral:rRNA from 1 species